UCUUCUAUGUCACACUCAGCUUGUUUGUUUCUUGGGUCUCUCUGUGUUUACAUCAUUUUUGCCUUCUCCAUUUUUCUUGUUUGGUUUUUUCUGUGCUCAAUCGCAUUCUUUCGAAAUCUUCAGUUUAUUCUGCUUCACUCCGUUCUGCCCGUUGCCGAUUUGUUGGUUUUUUCUGGUAUUUAGCAGGUUAUAAUCAUUCCACAUGCAUCGAAUUUUUACUUUAUUGACAAUGCCGUCUCCAUGGUGAAAGCAAAACAAUUGCAAAAUAUAGUUACUAGAAAGCAGCAGCCGAAGUUUCAUAUCUCAAAAUUUGCUCUACCGGAAAAAUUGUCAUACAGUGUAGUGCGGGAAGCAAAGUAGCUACAUCACACGUAUGUAAAACCUUGCAGUAUAUUCUUGGAUAUAGUGGUCUCGAAACAAAAGGUAUGCAGUAUAUUCUUGGAUGUAGUGGUCUCGAAAUAAAAGGUACGUUUUUAUGGCUAUGAAUUCAUAAAAAGACAUCCGACAGGGUCAUCAACUAUUUGAAUUCUCAUUUAUCUAGAUGCAAAUAUAAAGUUUGCAACGUUUAAACAAGAAAUUGGAAUAAGCAUGUUUGGAGAGAGAAAAAGGAACAAAUGAUCCAAGAGACCCCAUAUUCCUAUCUUGACAACUACUUUUCUGUUUAUUCAGUCAAUUACAGAUGACUACUCUGUUACAGGUAGACUGGUGGACCAUAAAGUCAAACAGUCGAAACUCGGCCUAGGAGUGUUUGAACUAGAGGAUCUUUUAUGAUCUACCAUCAGGAACUCAAUCUAAAAGUGUUUGAACUAGACUAUCUUUCUUGAUCUACCAUCUAAUUUAAAUUUUUUUUCCUGAGUUUUUCUAUUUUUAAAAUAGGCAAAUAUGUGAUGAUUUUUUGCUUCAAAUGCUAUCGAUCCAAAAGAUAAAAUAUAUUAUGCUGGUAAUACAAGAAAAUAUGGUCAUUAAUGACACAGUAAUUUGUAUUUUUCUUCUUUUUAAAACAGAAAGUAUCAUUUUCCCUAUUUUAUAAAUUUAGUAUAAAUGCGACGAUUAAAGUCUCAUUCUAUUUUGGUGUUUUCUCAUGAGAGAUGAGUUUGAGUUGAUUUUUCCUCAAAGAUUAAAGUGAGUUGCAUUUUUUAGGGAAAUACUUUUUCGACUGAACAUAUUUUCUUGAAAAAUAAUUGUUUCUUGAGCGAAUUCUCGAUUUAGCUGAAGAGUUUAAUGGUGAGUUUGAUCUUUCCUUCAAAGAUGAAUCUUGAAGAGGCAGUGAUGAUAAUUGCUUUCCUGAGGUAUAAAAUUAUUUGAAAACAGAGACAAUCAAACCCUUAUAUAUCUUGGCAUGGUAAAACCACAAUAGUAUGUGAUUUGAGGCUUUUCUAUCACAUGCAACAGUUUCUCGCCCUAUAAGAAAGAAAUUUGAAUCUCAAUUGUUUUCUUGUUAAGCUCUUGUUGGACUCUUAAAAAUAUAGACCUACAGAUUGCGAUUACUAUAUUUCAUCCAUUUUAGUAAAUGUUGAUUCCACCCUGGUGGAUAAGUCUUGACGGUUGUAUAUUAUCAUUAUUUGAGGUUCUUACCUCUUUGUUUCUUUUCCAUCUGCAAAUUACUUAGUUAGCCAUUGAGAAGCAUCUUAGUGAAGUUUGCAUUUUGCAUUAACUAGAUUGGUGUUUCUAGAUCUAUUAUCAAGUAGUCAUUGAGAAUAAGGUGAAACUAAAGUUUAUGUAUCUGGAAAGUAAGAAUUCACAACUAUUGCGGCUGGCGCAACGUUACCGUGAUACCAGUAAGUAACAUUGAUUACCGAAGUCUUAUCGAUAUAUAUAUAAAGCAUUAGUGAUACCAUUCACAUUCAUAUUAUGAAAGUGUAUAUUCGUGAUUUAUAAUUUCUGGUGCACUGAAGAAGGUGAAUCAAUUCAUAUAUGAAGAUACCAACUCAAUAUCUUCUAUCAUUUAAAGAAAAUUUUGUUUUCUGUUGAGUGCACUAAUAUCAUACGACAUUGAAAGUUGGUUUAGUAUUGCUUAGAUCCAGGUUGUUCAUAGGUCCCCGUUUUUUCCCCUGUGACUAAAAUAUUCAUUCUCCGAUCUUUUAUAGUGUUUGAGUUUAGAAAACCUUAGUUUAUAAAGGUUUUCUGUAAAAUUCUAUUUGUCCCAUUUAAAGCCAUUGAAAAGCAUAUAACAAGUGACAAAUGUCUGUUUAGUGAGAUCCUGGAAGAAUAAAAUGCUUCUCUAGCUUACAUAUAGGCAUAUCUUCUCUCUUGUGAUAGUUCUCUAUACCCCAUCUUUCAAGGAUGUGAGUAAUCAUUUUUCAAUUCCAGGUACUUAUCAAUUAGUUAAGGACUCUUCCUCAGACAGCAUCCUUCUCUUUCAAUUCAGCAACAGUGAUAAUUCAAGAGACUGUAGAUGUAUGUCAUCUGCGUACGAAGUUUUCCUUUAGAUUUUGUAAAGAUUCCAAUAUCAUAUUUGUAACUGUUGUAUCAAUAUCUCUCGACCAGGCAAGGUAAACGAUUCAGAGCUCCGAGAAAAAGCUAUUUAGAAGUUGGAAUAGUCAUUGAAAUUUAGAAUUGCUGCAAAUAACUCAUCUCCCACAAUGUAUAUUUCAUAAUAUUCUGAAUAUCCUGUAGAACUUUUUUCCAGAAUGCAUGAAAAAACUGUGAAGUGUUAACAUGUUGUGCACAUUGAA